AAAUGUUCCAAACUGGAAACGGAAAACUCAGAAUUGAGGCGUCAACUGACAGAGCAUUGCUCGAAGUCCAAGGAAAAUUCAUCAAAGGACAAAGAAAUUGAAGCAUUCUGGAGAUUUGAAGACGGACGAGAGGAAUGGUUGCCGGCCAAAUUGAUCCGAAAAUAUGCUAACGGAGAGUGUUCAGUCCAGUACUCUGAUGGAGUUAGUAGAGUGAGGUCCUCAUGGGUGAGAGAGGUGGGACAGAUGUAAGGUCAUCCUAUUGCCACAUCUAGAAGCUAUACCUAUUUUCUCAAGACUAAAAAUGUCGUGAACUUAAAAUAAAUGUUGUUAUCAAUAUAUGCAACCAGAGUACAUAUUAAGGCACUUCAUGUUAUUUUUCUGAAUGAUUGAAGUCAGGUUUCUCAUACUAAGACAUUUCCCUGUCAAGUUAUGGAAUUAACUUAAAUUUUAUGGUGUGAAAUUUCUGUUUUAUAAAAAAAUGCAUAGAUAAUUUUAAUCAAAUUGUGAGACUGAUAGCUUCAUUUUUUUUUAUCAAAUCAUGCAAAUGAUUGCCCUUUUUAUACGCCCGUAUAAAAUACGGGACGUAUUAUGUGAAACCCCUUGGCGGCGGGCGGCGGGCGGCGGGCGGAAGGCAUCACUUUGUCCGGACUCUAAUUCAAAUUGUAUUCAUCCGAUCUUCACCAAACUUGGUCAGCAGUUGCAUCUAGUUGAUAUCUAGGCCAAGUUCGAAUAUGGGUCAUGCCGGGUCAAAAACUAGGUCAUAGGGUCAAUAAGUGCAUUUUCAAAGGGGCCACUUUGUCCGGACUCUAUUUCAAAUUGUAUUCAUCCGAUCUUCACCAAACUUGGUCAGCAGUUGCAUCUAGUUGAUAUAUAGGCCAAGUUCGAAUAUGGGUCAUGCCGGGUCAAAAACUAGGUCAUAGGGUCAAUUAGUGCAUUUUCAACGGCGCCACUUUGUCCGGACUCUAAUUCAAAUUGUAUUCAUCCGAUCUUCACCAAACUUGGUCAGUAGUUGCAUCUAGUUGAUAUCUAGGUCAAGUUCGAAUAUGGGUCAUGCCGGGUCAAAAACUAGGUCACAAGGUUACUUAGUGCAUUUCAAGCAUUUAGCAUGGUGUCCGCUCUCUAAUUGAAGUAGUUUGCAUCUGAUCAUCACCUAAUUUGGUCAGAAGUUGAGUCUAGAUGAUAUGUAGAUCAAAUUCGAAUAUGGGUCAUGCCGGGUCAAAAACGAGGUCACGAUCGGACACAUAAUGAAUUUCAAGCAUUUAGCAUGGUGCCCGCUCUCUAAUUGAAGUAGUUUUCAUUUGAUCUUCACCAAAUUUAGUCAGAUGUUACAUCUAAAUGAUAUCUAGGUCAAGUUCAAAUAUGGGUCAUGCCGGGUCAAUAACUAGGUCUCGAGGUCACUUAGUGCAUUUCAAGCAUUAAGCAUGGUGUCCAAAACCUCCGAACGGGCGUAUCUUGUGACAGUUUGGCACUCUUGUUUUGAAGUAAAAAAAAACAACAUGAAUUUUACAUCACACUGAUGAUCAUAUUUCAAGUGUAAGCAUUAUUCUACAUCUUUUUCUUCAGUUUAAUGUUGGAAUUGAAUAUUCCCUAAUCAACAAUUUGAUUCUCUUUACUGCACUUUUGUUUAUGUGCAUUAUCCAAAGAAUGUUUGAAUUCCAUUUUGAAAUGCUUGAUGAGAACUUGUCUUUUCACUUAGGUAUAUGCUUUUUUCAUUAUUGGUUUUGUUCAGUGGUGGUGGUCAUAUUCUUCUUAUGUCAUUUCGGUCAGUAGAAUAUGGGACUUGUAUAUAACAGUUUAUAUGUUAGAAUGGUUUAUGAGAUUAUUUUAAAUAAAACUAUUUUUGAAUUUCUUUCGCUAUAUAAACAAAAGUUAAUUAAAGAGAUUUCACGUUUCUUACUGUUGCAAUCAAUUUAAUAUCUUAAAAUAACCUGAGAUCUUUUGGGAAACUAGACAGAAAAUAAGUUCUAAUGGUGAACAAUUCGUAUUCAGUCAGCCUUUGUAAGCCAUUGUAACUGUGAAUGUGUUCAUGUGCAUUAUUCUAACAUUUUUUCGAUUUCGGUUUAGAAAUGCUUUGUAUGAACUUGUCUUCAUUUUAAUAUGCUGAAUUAAAAUUGAUUUUGUUAAUUUGUGAUUACCAAUGUUUUAUUUUGUAUGUCCUAUAUGAUGUUUGAGUAUUUCAGAGAAACAAUAAAGUUCUGCCCUUACAAUACAUACUAAAAUUGUGACAGAAUUGUUUAGUAAUGAAAAUACAAAUUGCAGCAAUUGCACCUGUUAAAGAACUUUGAAUGGUUAUACAUGUAAUAGCGGUAAAGAUUGUUUUAUUUAAAUAUUUAAUUUUUCAUAAUGACUUCACAUGUUAAAAAAAAAUGUUUAGCAUUUUUUAAUACUAGUAUAUUUUGAGAACUAAUUUAAGUGUGACAUAAAUAAUAUGGAAUCAUUCCCACUAUUUAAUAUAUAUUUUCUGACCUGCUGACUGGUGGAUUGAGUACAUAUUAGUAUACUGGUAUUGUUUUUUAUUUUGAAAAUUUCACUGAUUGAAAAUUUACACAACAUUUUGUGUGUUCUGUAUUUACUAUGCCCCCCUUCGAAGAAGAGGGGGUAUAUUGCUUUGCACAUGUCGGUCUGUCGGUCGGUUUGUCCAUCAGGUGGUUUCCAGAUGAUAACUCAAGAACGCUUGGGCCUAUGAUCAUGAAACUUCAUAGGUACAUUGAUCAUGACUCGCAGAUGACCCCCAUUGAUUUUGAGGUCACUAGAUCAAAGGUCAAGAUCACGGUGACCUGAAAUAGUAAAAUGGUUUCCGUAUGGUAACUCAAGAACGCUUAGGCCUAGGAUCAUGAAACUUGAUAUGUAGAUUGAUCAUAACUCGCAGAUGACCCCUAUUAAUAUGCAGGUCACUAGGUCAUAGGUCAAGGUCACAGUGACCCGAAAUAGUAAAAUGGUUUCCGGAUGAUAACUCAAGAACGCUUAUGCCUAGGAACAUUGAAACUUCGUAGGUAGAUUGAUAAUGGCUGGCAGAUGACCCCUAUUGAUUUUCAGGUCACUAGGUCAAAGGUCAAGGUCACGGUGACCCGAAAUAGGAAAAUGGUUUCCGUAUGAUAACUCAAGAACGCUUAUGCCUAGGAUCAUGAAACUUGAUAGGUAGAUUGAUCAUGACUCGCAGUUGACCCUUAUUGAUUUUCAGGUCACUAUAUCAAAGGUCAAGGUCACGGGGACCUGAAAUAGUAAAAUGGUUUCCGGAUGAUAACUCAAGAACGCUAAUGGCUACGAUCAUGAAACUUCAUAGGUACAUUGAUCAUGACUUGCAGAUGACCCCUAUUGAUUUUGAGGUCAAAGGUCAAGGUCAUGGUGACCCGAAAUAGUAAAAUGGUUUCCGGAUGAUAACUCAAGAAGGCUUAUGCCUAGGAUCAUGAAACUUCAUAGGUGCACUGAUCAUGACUCGCAGAUGACCCCGUUCGAUUUUGAGGUCACUUGGUCAAAGGUCAAGUUCACGGUGACCCGAAAUAGUAAAAUGUUUUUCGGAUGAUAACUGAAGAACGCUUAUUCCUAGGAACAUGAAACUUGAUAGGUAGAUUGAUCAUGACUUGCAGAUGACCCCUACUGAUUCUCAGGCCACUAGGUCAAAGGUCAAUUUCACGGUGACCCGAAAUAGUAAAAUGGUGUCCGGAUGAUAAAUCAAGAACGCUUAUGGCUAGGAUCAUGAAACUUCAUAAGUACAUUGAUCAUGACUUGCAAAUGACCCCUAUUGAUUUUCAGGUCACUAGGUCAAAGGUCAAGGUCACAGUUACAAAAAACAUAUUCACACAAUGGCUGUCACUACAACGGAGAGCCCAUAUGGGGGGCAUGCAUGUUUUACAAACAGCCCUUGUUAUGACUUGUUUUAUAAUUUGCUAAUAAUUUAAGAACUUAUACAUUUAAAAGUGGUUUACCUUCCUUUUUUUCAGUGUGAUUUUUUCUGUGUGAUUAUGCAUUUCUGGAAGUUUGUACCGCCGGCGUAACAUUUUUAAACAAUUAUCUGUCAUUGUGUUUAUGAUCCUCUGAGAGUUUGUACCGCCAGCGUAACAUUUUCAAAGAAUUAUCUGUUGUGAUUAUGAACCUUUGGGAGGUUGUACCGCCAGCGUAACAUUUUCAGUUAAAUUUUAAGGGUUAUAUCAUUUUGUGUGUUCUGUAUUUACAUUACUUGUAUAAUUUACUAUUAAAUUAAGAACUUAAACAUUUAAAAGUGGUUUGUGCGAUUUUUACUAUUGGUACCUUAGGGAGUUUUGUACCGCCGGCGUAACAUUUUCAAGAAUUAUCUGUUGUUAUUAUGAUCCUCUGAGAGUUUGUACCGCCAGCGUAACAUUUUCAAAGAAUUAUCUGUUGUGAUUAUGAACCUAAGAACUUAAACAUUUAAAAGUGGUUUAUCUUCCUUUUUUUCAGUGUGAUUUUUUCUGUGUGAUUAUGCAUUUUUGGAAGUUUGUACCGCCGGCGUAACAUUUUUAAACAAUUAUCUGUCAUUGUGUACUUUUUGAGAGUUUGUACCGCCAGCGUAACAUUUUCAAAGAAUUAUCUGUUGUGAUUAUGAACAUUUAUGAGGUUGUACCGCCAGCGUAACAUUUUCAGUUACAUUUUAAGGGUUAUAUCAUUGUGUGUGUUCUGUACUUACAUUACUUGUAUAAUUUACUAUUAAAUUAAGAACUUAAACAUUUAAAA